UACGUAGGUGACAAGCGUUGUCCGGAUUUACUGGGCGUAAAGAGCGCGCAGGCGGUCGUUCAAGUCGAGUGUGAAAGCCCCCAGCUCAACUGGGGAAGGGCCUUGGAAACUGCCGGUCUCGAGGGAGGUAGGGGCCUGUGGAACUUCGGGUGGAGCGGUGAAAUGCGUUGAUAUCCGAAGGAACGCCGGUGGCGAAAGCGACGGGCUGGAUCUCUUCUGACGCUGAGGCGCGAAAGCUAGGGUAGCGAACGGG
rnacentral:rRNA from 1 species